rfam:Salmo salar isolate Sally breed double haploid chromosome ssa19, whole genome shotgun sequence.
UUCCCUGUGGCUCAGUUGGUAGAGCAUGGUGUGUGCAAUGCCAGGGUUGUGGGUUCAAUUCCCAUGGGGGGGG